GCACUACUGGGGAGUCCCAGAAUGGGACGAAACGGCCGUCCAGUGC
rnacentral:hammerhead_ribozyme from 1 species